GGAAGCAUUUGGUGACCCAGUCAGCAUUUACCAAAAACCACACCACACUGACCAAGCUUCACUUUUGAUAUCCAGUGUUGUCUCAAUUGCUUUGUUCAAUGGAGACGUGUUGGUAUAUGCAUGCUCCGGAAUAGCUGUACGCCACUGGCAUGGUAAUAUAAAAGAUUUCCAUACAAUAUUUGCGACUUCUGCACGUUUGGCCCAGAAAUUUAAUGACAAUAGAACCAGAGAUGAUAAUUUGAGGAUCGAAGUUCGUACUUCUGAUAAUAGAACUCUAGUUGGCUUUUUGGGACUAUAUGAUGAAAAGAAUGGUAUCGCUAUUGUCACG